GAAAUGCGAUAAGUAAUGUGAAUUGCAGAAUUCAGUGAAUCAUCGAAUCUUUGAACGCACCUUGCGCCUUUUGGUAUUCCGAAAGGCAUGCCUGUUUGAGUGUCAUGAAAUCUCAAUCCUCCUAGGUUUUUGACCUGGUUGGACUUGGACAUGGGCGUCUGCCAGCAAUGGCUCGCCUUAAAUGACUUAGUGGAACAUCCCACAUCAGUGUUAGACGUAAUAAGUUUCGUCUCUCCUUGUGGUGAUGACUGCUCAUAAUCUGCCAUCGCGCACUUUUGACUUUGACCUCAAAUCAGGUAGGGCUACCCGCUGAACUUAA
rnacentral:misc_RNA from 1 species